UACGUAGGCAGCGAGCGUUGUUCGGAGUUACUGGGCGUAAAGAGUGCGUAGGCGGCUUUCUAAGUUUGGUGUGAAAUCUCCCGGCUUAACUGGGAGGGUGCGCCGAAGACUGGAAGGCUUGAGUAUGGGAGAGGUAAGCGGAAUUCCUGGUGUAGCGGUGAAAUGCGUAGAUAUCAGGAGGAACACCUGCGGUGUAGACGGCUUACUGGACCAUAACUGACGCUGAGGCACGAAAGCGUGGGUAGCAAACAGG
rnacentral:rRNA from 1 species